GGGAUAUUGCACAAUGGGCGCAAGCCUGAUGCAGCAACGCCGCGUGAGGGAAGACGGUCUUCGGAUUGUAAACCUUUGUCUUUGGUGAAGAAGAAAGUGACGGUAGCCGAGGAGGAAGCCACGGCUAACUACGUGCCAGCAGCCGCGGUAAUACGUAGGUGGCAAGCGUUGUCCGGAUUUACUGGGUGUAAAGGGAGCGCAGGCGGGAUGACAAGUCAGCUGUGAAAUGUGUGGGCUUAACCCAUAAACUGCAGUUGAAACUGUUGUUCUUGAGUGGAGUAGAGGCAAGCGGAAUUCCGAGUGUAGCGGUGAAAUGCGUAGAUAUUCGGAGGAACACCAGUGGCGAAGGCGGCUUGCUGGGCUCUAACUGACGCUGAGGCUCGAAAGUGUGGGGAGCAAACA
rnacentral:rRNA from 1 species